rnacentral:rRNA from 1 species
UACGGGGGGAGCAAGCGUUGUUCGGAUUCACUGGGCGUAAAGGGUGCGCAGGUGGGUUUGCAAGUUCGAUGUGAAAGCCCCGGGCUUAACCCGGGAAUGGCAUUGGAUACUGCAGAUCUGGAGGAUCGGAGGGGGGACUGGAAUUCUUGGUGUAGCAGUGAAAUGCGUAGAUAUCAAGAGGAACACCAGUGGCGAAGGCGAGUCCCUGGACGAUACCUGACACUGAGGCACGAAAGCUAGGGGAGCAAACAGG